rnacentral:tRNA from 1 species
GGAUGUGGCUCAAGCGGUAGCGCGCUCACCUGGCAUGCGUGAGGCCGGGGUUCAAUCCUCAGCACCA